CCCGAGUUGCCAUGUCAGCCUUGUUAAGUCACAGUCCGGGACCUGGACCAGGGCUCUCAGGACGGGCUCCUGGAGUGUCCAGGGGCUGCUGGGAGCUGGCUCAGGGGGGAGAGGACCACUUCUCUACCCCAUCCUGGCUCCCAUCCUGCCUCAGCCCAUGCCACAGGCCAGAGCCCUUGUUGCUGACUGUUCUGCGCCUGACGAUUGAGCAGAGCUGAGGACACACAAAAGACACAAACACAAAAGGAAAGCCACCCAGCGCAUGGACACAAAGCCAGACCCAGGGACCAAGCCACAGGCCAGUGUGUGCAGUGCCAUGGAUGCCAGGAGCAGGGAGCGGACCAGGACACCGAGGGGCUACAAGCUACAGUGAUGGUGCUAAAGAGCCAGGAUGUCUUGGAAUCUGUACAACUGCCGUUCGCCAUUCACCAAUCUGCAUUGAAGCUCUGGGGACUUCCAGGCCUUGUGAAGUCGGGGCUUCAUGGAGGAGGUGAUACCUGAGCUUGGGAGUCAGAGAACAGGCAAAACUUCACCGAGUCACACACUUACAAAAAUAUUUUGCUUCCUUUAAGCCACUUGUUCCGGGCUGGAAUACAACAUUUGUGAAAUAAAUGAAGAUUAUGAUAAUCAUACCUACAUCCUGAGACUGUGGAGAGGAUUAAAUUAAUAUGCUGAACAUGGAUUGUGAGUGAAUUGAUGAAGAGGUAAAACGACACCACAAUGCAGAAGGGUGCCAUAUAUGAAGCCAUUGGGCACCAAUAUGAGAGGCAGUAAAUCACCCCAGCCGAUUAAGUGCCUUCCCCCAAUAAAACCCAGAUAAUCCCCACACCAAGAGUUGAUCCUUGCGCUCAGGCCAUUCCAAGUUAUCAGCCCAUUUCCCUUCCUGUUGUCCAGCACUCUCACCCACCUCUCUGCUUACUCCGAAGCAGGAAGAGCAGACAUGGGGGUGGGAGUGGGAAGCAGCCUCAGAUCCAGUCGCAGUGGCGACAGCAGCAUC
rnacentral:lncRNA from 1 species